CAGGGAGACCAGGGCCCCAGCCACAGGGGCCCCUGUGAGGCUGAGGACCUCCCCGAGCAGCAGGUGGCCCUCGCACACGCAGCGGCUGCAGUCGUUGCUGGGCCGGCCCUCAGGACACACACGGUCUCACCUGGGCACUGGAUCCUAGCACACUUCUGGACCUCAGCCGGGUGUCCCGUGCAUUGACCUUUGUUGGACGACACGCAGGUCCUCCUUCUGACCCUACGGCCCCCGCCACAGGUGUGCUCGAGCUGCUGGAUCAUAGAGGACCGACAGCAUGAAUUACAUUGGAGUACAUCGCACCCACGUGGCUGUGACGCCCCCCCAGAGACACCUGCUGUAGCCACACCGGUGCUGCUGGGGCUUUUGUCUAGCUGGCUCCUGGCCAAGGGUUUCAUCGUUAA